AAUGCACCAAUUUGUAAGUCGCUCUGGAUAAGAGCGUCUGCUAAAUGACCAAAA
rfam:Salmo salar isolate Sally breed double haploid chromosome ssa17, whole genome shotgun sequence.